GACGAACGCUGGCGGCGUGCUUAACACAUGCAAGUCGAACGGAAAGGCCCUGCUUUUGUGGGGUGCUCGAGUGGCGAACGGGUGAGUAACACGUGAGUAACCUGCCCUUGACUUUGGGAUAGCUUCAGGAAACUGGGGCUAAUACCGGAUAGGAGCUCCUGCUGCAUGGUGGGGGUUGGAAAGUUUCGGCGGUUGGGGAUGGACUCGCGGCUUAUCAGCUUGUUGGUGGGGUAGUGGCUUACCAAGGCUUUGACGGGUAGCCGGCCUGAGAGGGUGACCGGCCACAUUGGGACUGAGAUACGGCCCAGACUCCUACGGGAGGCAGCAGUGGGGAAUAUUGCACAAUGGGCGGAAGCCUGAUGCAGCAACGCCGCGUGCGGGAUGACGGCCUUCGGGUUGUAAACCGCUUUCGCCUGUGACGAAGCGUGAGUGACGGUAAUGGGUAAAGAAGCACCGGCUAACUACGUGCCAGCAGCCGCGGUGAUACGUAGGGUGCGAGCGUUGUCCGGAUUUAUUGGGCGUAAAGGGCUCGUAGGUGGUUGAUCGCGUCGGAGGUGUAAUCUUGGGGCUUAACCCUGAGCGUGCUUUCGAUACGGGUUGACUUGAGGAAGGUAGGGGAGAAUGGAAUUCCUGGUGGAGCGGUGGAAUGCGCAGAUAUCAGGAGGAACACCAGUGGCGAAGGCGGUUCUCUGGGCCUUUCCUGACGCUGAGGAGCGAAAGCGUGGGGAGCGAACAGGCUUAGAUACCCUGGUAGUCCACGCUGUAAACGGUGGGUACUAGGUGUGGGGUCCAUUCCACGGGUUCCGUGCCGUAGCUAACGCUUUAAGUACCCCGCCUGGGGAGUACGGCCGCAAGGCUAAAACUCAAAGGAAUUGACGGGGCCCCGCACAAGCGGCGGAGCAUGCGGAUUAAUUCGAUGCAACGCGUAGAACCUUACCUGGGUUUGACAUGGAUCGGGAGUGCUCAGAGAUGGGUGUGCCUCUUUUGGGGUCGGUUCACAGGUGGUGCAUGGCUGUCGUCAGCUCGUGUCGUGAGAUGUUGGGUUAAGUCCCGCAACGAGCGCAACCCUUGUUCACUGUUGCCAGCACGUUAUGGUGGGGACUCAGUGGAGACCGCCGGGGUCAACUCGGAGGAAGGUGGGGAUGACGUCAAGUCAUCAUGCCCCUUAUGUCCAGGGCUUCACGCAUGCUACAAUGGCUGGUACAGAGAGUGGCGAGCCUGUGAGGGUGAGCGAAUCUCGGAAAGCCGGUCUCAGUUCGGAUUGGGGUCUGCAACUCGACCUCAUGAAGUCGGAGUCGCUAGUAAUCGCAGAUCAGCAACGCUGCGGUGAAUACGUUCCCGGG
rnacentral:rRNA from 1 species